rnacentral:sRNA from 1 species
CCGAGGCCAAUAGGAACUGAGGACUCAACACAUCACAGGUCUUUGCUCCUCUAUUUUUCCACAGAGAAGCACUGGCAACAGCUGUACACAUUUUCCAUACACCACAUUCAUCCACUGUGCCUCAAGCCUGACCUGGAGGAUCCAAUUUCGGGGUAUAUGACAGUAAUUCAGUUUCUGUGGCCUAUUCAGUUCUUGGUCUGU